UGGGGAAUAUUGCACAAUGGGCGCAAGCCUGAUGCAGCCAUGCCGCGUGUAUGAAGAAGGCCUUCGGGUUGUAAAGUACUUUCAGCGGGGAGGAAGGGUGUAAAGUUAAUACCUUUGCUCAUUGACGUUACCCGCAGAAGAAGCACCGGCUAACUCCGUGCCAGCAGCCGCGGUAAUACGGAGGGUGCAAGCGUUAAUCGGAAUUACUGGGCGUAAAGCGCACGCAGGCGGUUUGUUAAGUCAGAUGUGAAAUCCCCGGGCUCAACCUGGGAACUGCAUCUGAUACUGGCAAGCUUGAGUCUCGUAGAGGGGGGUAGAAUUCCAGGUGUAGCGGUGAAAUGCGUAGAGAUCUGGAGGAAUACCGGUGGCGAAGGCGGCCCCCUGGACGAAGACUGACGCUCAGGUGCGAAAGCGUGGGGAGCAAACA
rnacentral:rRNA from 1 species